rnacentral:misc_RNA from 1 species
GUGAACGCCCUCACGGGCUUAUAACUAUUCCAAACCUCUGUGGACCGUGCCCUUCGGGGCUAUUUUACAAACAUGGUGUAAUGAACGUCAUAUAUCAUAACAAAACA